CCCAAACCGGAUCCUCAACAAAAUAAAAUGGAAGCACGCAUAAGUUGGAAAAGGAACGGAUUCAGCACAGAUGCGUAGGGAACAAAAAAUCAACGUCGUCUUCUCCACUCCGGCAUCUUCGCGGCGCCUCAACCCACCGUUAACCUCGGAGGCGAACGAGCUCUUCCGCUGUCGUGACUACGUAUUCCACAAACCAAUCCCCGACGCCGGGUUGCAACAAUAUCAAAGAAUCGGUUUAAACGCGAAGCGGAGAAAAGUCUUACCGAUUCUGACGUGGAUGCGCUUCGAUUCGUGCUCUCGCGGCUCCGAUUUCCUGCUCUUCCAAGAUUUCACCGAAUCGUGAUGAGGAAUCGACUUAGAUGUACUGAGUGCUCGCGUUGGUGUGGGUUCCGAGAAAACCAGGUGAAGUGAUGUUGAUGCUGAUUGAUUGAAAAAGGGCGCUGUUAUUCAAUAGGUUUUGGAAAAGUUUUGAAGAGUUACUUUUGAAUUGGGAACUUCCAAAAGAGCUUUUGGAAGAGUCUGUGAAAUUUGCUUCAAACUGCUGUGUUUACAGUUUAUUCUAAUUUUUUUAAUAAAAUUAUUUCUGAUGUAACAGAGACUUUUUGGAUUAUGAACUUAUGGAUUGCUUGUAACAUGUACAAACUUAAUUUGGAAUUUCUCUUUUUU